rnacentral:rRNA from 1 species
AUGGCGUAGGUGAAAUAUUUCCGAUAAUAUUUGGUCUAAUAUCACCAGCGAAGAUUUUUAACAUUGGUACCAACAUUUUGGCCGCGAUUUAUUAAAAAAGCGUUGCUGACUGCGAGCCGCGGUUAUAAUAAUAUUGUGAAGUUUUAUAAUAAAAUUAUGAAUAUAAUAGUAAUAAUAUAUCUAAUAUUAGGC